UUUUUUCUUUGAGGCACCUCUUUGUUUAUGCUUGGCUUUCACUUUAAGAGCUUAUGGGCAUUUUCCGAUUUCAAUUUUUGGGAUUGGGUUCUCAAGGCUGGUAUUGGCAAUAUGGAACUGCGUAUUGAACUGUAAUUGAAGAAUGGGUGGAAUGUGAAUGUUUUGAGGGAUUGGAUUUUGUGUUGGUUUUGAUUUUUGAUGUCAAAGGGGUUCGUAUGUAAAAAUGGAUGAUAUAGCAGGUUUGCAGGAAGCAGCAGGGUCUAGAUUUAGUCAAUUCGAGUUGAUUGGUAGAGGAGCCUUUGGAGAUGUCUAUAAGGCGUUUGAUAAGGAACUGAACAAAGAAGUUGCUAUUAAAGUUAUUGAUUUAGAGGAAUC